GAUUUAUCCGAGGAAUAAACUAAUAGCUAUUGUGAUGCUACCACUAAAUACAGAAAUAACAACAUUAUAUUUUUGUGUUACGUUUUGAAUAUAUUGUUUAUCGUGAUAUUAAAAUAUUGAAGGAGCUGUACCAAUAUUCCUGUUUGGUUACAAAGUAAGAUCAAGUGGUAAGAAAAUUAACAAAAAUGUCUUGAUCACGUCUUUUCCUGUGAUCCUCGUAUCAAUCUUAAAAUAACGACACGCAGCCUUCGUCAGGUUCCUCUCUCUACUCUUAUUUACACGCGUGCUGCAGACAAUUAAACCUGUCGCUAAAAAGGUGAAACACGCGUUUCUUCGCGUCGAAAUGGACACUGGAACCGCGCUGCCGGUUGUCAGUGUCCAGCUCCGAAUAUCCCAAAGAGCUGUUGGCCAGUAGCAAAAAACGCAAUUCCAGCGGCGCGAACGCGGCCAAUUCCGCUCGAAUCCCAAUCCGCUUGGCGUACAAGGCAAAAAGAAGAUGUGCACGCUGUUCUACCUGGCGAGCCAAGGGAAUUAGCCUUCGGGAAUCGCGGUCGCGAUGCAUAAUGCAGGGGUAGCCGCGCUGGAUUUAUGUAACUUAAUUUGUAACGCGCGACGUCCGACUGUCCUGUCCGUCUAAGAACAAGUUCGAAGAGGAAUAAAGGGGCGGAUGAGGUGGAGGGGAUCAUCACGAAAGCUACGCACACGCGAGACCGUGUAAUAAUGGUGAACUCGAUGAGCAAGUUUUUCACUUUGCAUGCAAUAAGCGAGCAAACUCGACGAAAUGCUCCUCCUUCCGCAACAGCGCGCCAUACCAGCGGUUUUAAUAAAAUCUCGUUGAUCUAAUAACACGAGUGUGACCGUGGCUAAAAAGAAAUCGAGGUAAGAGUGACGCUGACAAAGAGGGGAAAAGAUAUUGGGAAAUAAAGGAAGCUGGCAAGGAUGGAGAUGCUUGUCAUGGUUGCUGGUGAAAAAUGUUACCAUGGAAUGGUGGGCUGUUCCUUUUUGUUGAUUUCUGGCUAGGGAAGGCACUCUUUUGACAACUGUGAUUCAGAAUUUAUAUGCAAAAUUUGCCUACUCAGGUUUAGCACAAUUAUAGUAGCACUCUGUUUAUAUGAACCUAUCAGUAGACAAACCUAUGAAUCUAUCAAUAGAUGAAGCUUAUAUAUGUGAAUUUAAUCAACAAAACAAAUAAAUGAAUUUAAUGAACAGUAGUUGGUGCAAUCGAACGUUCACUGAAAUUUCGUUCAGAUAAAUAAAAGUCAUAUAAACGAAGUUCUACUGUAAACAUGUCAAUUCAAUGAACGAGAAUGUGAAAAUUCUUCUCAAUAUAUGGAUUCUACGUAAGAUACAGGACAAUAGAGUAUGUCUUCGAACUUUACCUCGAUAAAUUUAGAAUCUACUUCCUGAAACCUCUUCGUCUUGCUCGGACUCUCAGCUGCUGCUUCAUUUAAAAGCCACAGGAAACAAAAAGUAACGUAUCACAAAUUCAAAAGCAUUGUCGAACCGAUGUUGACCAGGUAUCCAAUUUUCAAGUAAUAACGAAGAAACGAAUCGUCACUGACGAUUUUCCAUCCGUCGCUAAGGAAGAUCCACGUGAUCGCGUAACUUGUUCGCGAACUCGUGUAAAGUUGAUGCUGUAGCCGUCGGAUCUUGCUCGUAUUGCGCAAAUAGGCGAACUGAAAACGCAUUGACACGAGAGAAGCCGUCUAAUGCAAAAGGGGAAGCCGAGAGGAAGGACGAUGGAAGAAGAGAACGAAGCUGAUGCUGAAUAGCGCCCUACCUGGUCCCCAAAGUCAUAAAUCAUUUCCCCAUGAUACUACCCUUCUGCGUUUCCCUGCAGCAUAACCUCGGUGAUCGGCGACCGGCCAACAUCACCUGCAAUCCAGACUCCGUCAUCUCGAUCCUUGACCGCGUGCUCCAGGAUCAGUGAUAUGUCGUGAUGCACGCGUGCGCGUCCUAAUCCGCGUAUCCUUUAGUUAAAAACAAAUUUACGACGACUUCAGUGGUGUUUUCUUUGUUGAUCGAAUUUGUUUGUUGCGAAUGGAACAAUUGUUUAAAGAGAGCUUGAAAUUGGAAGAACAGUGGAUCAUCACGUUGAUGGUACCGGCACGUGGAUUUGGCGUUGAAAAUAAGAAUAUUGAAACAAUAUUGGAAAAUUGGUUGUUAAAACUAUAGAAGUGAUUCGUUUGGUUGUAUGAAGUAAACCUUCUUUUUAAAUCGUCAAAGAAUUUUCUAUGAGAAAAUAAUUUUUUUAUUUGAACGACUGCUGUAUUGUUAUGGGAUUUUUAUGGAGUCACUGAGUCUUAGUGGAACAUACAAGUUUAUUCUAAUUGGAACUGUGUGUUUCGUUACAAAAGUCAUAUUGUAUUUAAUUUCUUCA